GACGAACGCUGGCGGCGUGCUUAACACAUGCAAGUGGCGCGACGAACCAGGGCUUGCCCUGGGGCAGAGCCGCGAACGGGUGAGUAACACGUGGGCAACCUGCCCCGAUGACUGGGACAACCCGGGGAAACCCGGGCUAAUACCGGAUGUGCCCGCUCCACACCAGUGGAGCGUGUAAAGGAAGCUUCGGCCUCCGCAUUGGGAUGGGCCCGCGGCCCAUUAGCUUGUUGGUGAGGUAAUGGCUCACCAAGGCAUCUAUGGGUAGCUGGUCUGAGAGGACGAUCAGCCACACUGGGACUGAGACACGGCCCAGACUCCUACGGGAGGCAGCAGUGGGGAAUCUUGCGCAAUGCGCGAAAGCGUGACGCAG
rnacentral:rRNA from 1 species